rnacentral:snRNA from 1 species
AUACUGUCAAAAAUGUAUUCUUUGAUUAAAUGGAUUUUUGGAGCUGGGAGUUGGAAUAGGAGCUUGCUCCGUCCACUCCACGCAUCGACCUGGUAUUGCAGUACUUCCAGGAACGGUGCACCCCCU